CCAAGGAAAAGGAAGGAUAUAAUAUGGAUGAGAAGCUAUAAACCAAAGGAAAUAGAGGAACAAUGGGGAACAAGUGUAAACACAUUCAAACACACCCAAACCUCUAAUUCAAUCCUCUUCUUGACUCCUUUAUUCAUAAUUUUUUUUUUUAAUUUUUCUCAUUUUUCUGUAUUUUUUUUUUCUUUUUUUUUCAUCUUGUCUCUUUUC
rnacentral:lncRNA from 1 species